GGCGAUGUUGGUGCGCUCGCAGUUGCCGCCGAUAUUGUAGCUCUCGCCGAUGCGGCCCGCCUCGAACACCCGGUGCAGCGCCCGGGCAUGGUCC
rnacentral:tRNA from 1 species